rnacentral:rRNA from 1 species
UACAGAGGGUGCGAGCGUUAAUCGGAAUUACUGGGCGUAAAGGGCGCGUAGGCGGCGCGAGAAGUCGAGUGUGAAAGCCCCGGGCUCAACCUGGGAAUUGCGCUCGAUACUCUUGUGCUUGAGUUCGGGAGAGGAGCGUGGAAUUCCCAGUGUAGAGGUGAAAUUCGUAGAUAUUGGGAAGAACACUGGUGGCGAAGGCGGCGCUCUGGGCCGAUACUGACGCUGAGGAGCGAAAGCGUGGGGAGCGAACAGG